rnacentral:misc_RNA from 1 species
GAUGAAGAACGUAGCGAAAUGCGAUAAGUAGUGUGAAUUGCAGAAUUCCGUGAAUCAUCGAAUCUUUGAACGCACAUUGCGCCCGCCAGUAUUCUGGCGGGCAUGCCUGUCCGAGCGUCAUUUCAACCAUCAAGCCCCGGGCUUGUGUUGGGGACCUGCGUCCGACGCAGGCCCUGAAAACCAGUGGCGGGCUCGCUGUCCACACCGAGCGUAGUAACUAACCUCGCUAUGGAGUGGCGCGGGCGCCUGCCGUAAAACCCCCAAUUUUUACAAGGUUGACCUCGGAUCAGGUAGGAAUACCCGCUGAACUUAAGCAUAUCAAUAAGCGGAGGA